CGUGUAGGCGGUCUUUUAAGUCUGAUGUGAAAGCCCCGGGCUCAACCUGGGAAGUGCAUUGGAAACUGGGAGACUUGAGUACGGGAGAGGGUAGUGGAAUUCCUAGUGUAGGAGUGAAAUCCGUAGAUAUUAGGAGGAACACCGGUGGCGAAGGCGGCUACCUGGACCGAUACUGACGCUGAGACGCGAAAGCGUGGGGAGCAAACAGGAUUAGAUACCCUGGUAGUCCACGCCGUAAACGAUGAGUACUAGGUGUUGCGGGUAUUGACCCCUGCAGUGCCGCAGCUAACGCAUUAAGUACUCAGCCUGGGAAGUACGGUCGCAAGACUAAA
rnacentral:rRNA from 1 species